UACAGAGGUCCCGAGCGUUGUUCGGAUUCACUGGGCGUAAAGGGUGCGUAGGUGGCCAUGAAAGUUCGAUGUGAAAUCUCCGGGCUCAACCCGGAAAAGGCAUUGAAAACUCUGUGGCUGGAGGUUUGGAGGGGGGACUGGAAUUCUCGGUGUAGCAGUGAAAUGCGUAGAUAUCGAGAGGAACACCAGUGGCGAAGGCGGGUCCCUUGACAACACCUGACACUGAGGCACGAAAGCUAGGGGAGCAAACAGG
rnacentral:rRNA from 1 species